rnacentral:rRNA from 1 species
CCCAGACUCCUACGGGAGGCAGCAGUGGGGGAUAUUGCACAAUGGGGGGAACCCUGAUGCAGCGACGCCGCGUGGGUGAAGAAGCGCCUCGGCGCGUAAAGCCCUGUCAGCAGGGAAGAAAAUGACGGUACCUGAAGAAGAAGCCCCGGCUAACUACGUGCCAGCAGCCGCGGUAAUACGUAGGGGGCAAGCGUUAUCCGGAUUUACUGGGUGUAAAGGGGGCGCAGACGGCGAUGCAAGCCAGGAGUGAAAGCCCGGGGCCCAACCCCGGGACUGCUCUUGGAACUGCGUGGCUGGAGUGCAGGAGGGGCAGGCGGAAUUCCUGGUGUAGCGGUGAAAUGCGUAGAUAUCACGCAGAACUCCGAUUGCGAAGGCAGCGCACCGGCGCCCUACUGACGCUCAGGCACGAAAGCGUGGGUAUCGAACAGGAUUAGAUACCCGAGUAAAC